GACUCUGGAUUCUCUUCAAAUCGUAUAAAUCUUUCGCCUUUUACUAAAGAUUUCCGUGGAGAGGAACAGCAAGAGAUACCGACAAUUUUUCACGUCCUGCUUGAAUGCAGGGU
ensembl:snRNA U5 U5 spliceosomal RNA